rnacentral:misc_RNA from 1 species
UUUCCGUAGGUGAACCUGCGGAAGGAUCAUUACCGGGAUUGAUUCUUUUAGAAUUAUCUCCAUGACCCUAUGUUUACAACAUAUGUCUACUUCGGCGAGACGUUUUGAGCAAUCGAACCAUUGACUUGUAAAAGUGAGUGUGUUGCUCGCCGGAGGCUUUACAACUCUAUUUCUUUGAAGUCUGAGUAAACAAACAAAUAAAUUAAAACUUUCAACAACGGAUCUCUUGGUUCUGGCAUCGAUGAAGAACGCAGC